AGCAGCGUGGCUCAGUGGAAAGAGCCUGGGCUUGGAAAUCAGAGGUCAUGGGUUUGAAUCCUGACUCUGCCA
rnacentral:tRNA from 1 species